rnacentral:sRNA from 1 species
AUAAAUAGAGCAUAGAAUGGAAUAUGAUAAAUAAUGUGACAUAGAAUGGAAGGUGGGGCACAGAUGGCACAUAGGAAUUCUGAACCUUUCUUGUAAAUAUUUUUAAUCCUCUAUUUAAAAGAAUACCUAUCAUUCUCUUCAGUUUUGCCUUGGCUUUACAACAUUUUAAGGAUUGUUUUCUUUUGUUUCCUUUAAAUAAGGAUUAACCUUACCUUUGUAAUCAUAUAUCUGAAACCUGAAAGAAGAAUAUAUUCCAAACUUUUAAAACAAUUAAAAACAUUUUUAUUGUAGUAAAAUACACAAAUUUUACCGUUUGUAAGACAUAAAUUUAACAUUUUAAUCAUGUUUAAGUGUUUGUUCAGUGAUAUUAAGCACCUUCACAUUGUGCAACCAUCACCACCAUGCAUUUGCGAACUUUUGUCUCCUCAAACUGAAGUUUUCUAUCCUUUUGACAAUAACUCGCCAUUAAUUCAGCCCUUAUCAACCAUUAUUUCUGUUUUUAUAAAUUUAGUUACCUCAUGUAUGUGGAAUUAUAUUUGCUUUUUUGUGACUGGCUCAUGUCACUUAGCAUAAUGUCUCUAAGGUUCAUCCAUGUUGCAGCAUGUGUCAGACUUUUCUUCAUUUUUAAAGCUGAGUAAUAAUUCUGUUUUACGCAUAUAACACAUUUUUGUAUCCACUCAUCCAUUGAUGGACAGUUGGGUUGCUUCUCCCUUUGGUCUGUUGUGAAUAAUACUUCUGUGAACAUGGGUGUACAAAUACAUGUUCAGGUAUCGGCUUUCAUUCCUUUUAGGUGUAUACUAAAAAGUGGAAUUGUUGGAUUAUGUGGUUAUUCUAAUUCUAAUUUUUUUAAAGAACUAUUCAUAACUUUUUAAUCUUCUCCAAAGGCAAUUCUUCAGUUAGAUAGUCCUGAAUCUGCUCAGUCAAUGUACAGCUUUCUGAAACAAAAUCCACAAAAUAUUGGUGACCAUAUGUUGACCUGCUCAUUAUCUCCAAAGAUAGACUUACCAGAGGUAAGAUUUAUCUUUCUUCAGCUUUUGUGAUUUUAGAAAAUACAGAGAACAUAAAGGUCAUUCUCAGGUAGUAGUCAAACUGUUUCUGUGUUUAGAGAUGAUUUUUAUAAUUUGUGUUGCAAUCAGUGUUCCAAUUUUCAUAGUUUAUAAAGCAGUAUAAAUUUGUCUAAAUGAGAAUAAAGAAAUUUUCAACAAUGUAACAUAUAUGCAUUUUUGAAUACUUAUUGUUGACAUGUAGGUAUCUACAUUUUUGUGUAUAGUGACUCUUUGUAUGUAACAUGAUUGUCUCCAGAAUGCAGCUACUUUGAAUCCAUUUUGGCUUCCUCUGGGUAGAAAGAAGUUUGUUUAUUCUUCUUUUUGUUUCAGUUACAUUUAUUAUAAACUGUUUUUGUGUUAAGAAAUAAGAUUUCACAGGUUCUUGGCCUACACAGUAGUACAUGUAGGAAAGCUAUGGAUAGUCCACCUUUGAAAGCAUUAAAUUCAAACUCAGAUAUUUUCUCCUUCUAUUCCAUUGUAUGCUGAUAUCAGAGGUGCAAAUUGAGCAUGACCCAGAAUUAGAAAAAGAAAGCCCUGGCUUGAAAAACAGUCCAGUUGAUGAAAGUGAGGUGCAAACAGCAACUGAUAGUCCCUCUGUUAAACCUAAUGAGCUUGAAGAAGAAAGUACUCCCAGCAUUCAAACAGAAACUUUGGUACAGGAGGAAGAGCCUUGUGAGGAAGAACCUGAAAAAGCAACAUGUGAUUCUGACUUUGCUAUUGAAACUUUGGAGCUUGAAACUCAAGGAGAGGAGGUCAAAGAAGAAAUUCCUCUUGUAGCAUCCGCUCCAGUCAGUAUUGAACAAUUCACUGAAAAUGCCGAGGAGUGUGCUUUAAAUCAGCAGAUGUUUAACAGUGACUUGGAGAAGAAAGAGGCAGAAAUUAUUAACCCUAAAACAGCAUUGUUACCAUCUGACAGUGUGUUUGUAGAAGAAAGGAACCUCAAAGGAAUUCUAGAAGAAUCUCCAUCUGAAGCAGAAGAUUUCAUUUCUGGAAUUACACAGACUAUGGUAGAAGCUGUAGCUGAAGUAGAAAAAAAUGAAACUGUUUCAGAAAUAUUGCCAUCAACUUGUAUUGUGACGUUAGUACCAGGAAUUCCCACUGGGGAUGAGAAGACAGUGGACAAAAAGAAUAUUUCUGAAAAAAAAGGUAACAUGGAUGAAAAGGAGGAGAAUGAAUUUAAUACUAAGGAAACCAGAAUGGAUCUUCAAAUAGGAACAGAGAAGGCUGAAAAGAAGGAAGGUGUGGAAAAGAUGGCAGCAAUGAAAGAAAAGCCUGCAGAAAACACUUUAUUCAAGGCAUACCCAAAUAAAGGAGUGGGUCAGGCUAAUAAGCCUGAUGAAACUAGUAAAACUAGUAUUCUGGCUGUAUCAGAUGUAUCUAGCAGUAAACCAAGCAUCAAGGCUGUUAUAGUCUCUUCUCCUAAGGCAAAAGCUACAGUUUCAAAAACUGAAAAUCAGAAAAGUUUUCCAAAAUCUGUGCCCAGAGAUCAAAUAAAUGCUGAAAAGAAACUUUCAGCCAAGGAAUUUGGUCUGCUUAAACCCACAAGUGCCAGGUCAGGCUUGGCAGAAAGCAGCAGUAAAUUCAAACCUACUCAGAGCAGUCUUACCAGAGGAGGCAGUGGAAGGAUCUCAGCCCUGCAAGGCAAGCUUUCUAAACUGGAUUACAGGGAUAUAACAAAACAAUCUCAGGAAACGGAGGCUAGACCUUCCAUCAUGAAACGGGAUGACAGCAACAAUAAGACUUUGGCUGAGCAAAACACUAAGAAUCCUAAAAGCACUACUGGUAGAAGUUCCAAAUCUAAAGAGGAGCCAUUAUUUCCAUUUAAUUUGGAUGAAUUUGUUACUGUGGAUGAGGUUAUAGAAGAAGUGAAUCCUUCUCAGGCCAAGCAGAAUCCACUAAAGGGAAAAAGGAAAGAAACUCUCAAAAAUGUUCCUUUCUCUGAACUUAACUUAAAGAAGAAAAAGGGGAAAACUUCCGCUCCUCGUGGUGUUGAGGGAGAAUUAUCUUUUGUAACAUUGGAUGAGAUUGGGGAAGAGGAAGAUGCAGCUGCACAUCUAGCACAAGCUCUAGUCACUGUGGAUGAAGUAAUUGAUGAAGAAGAACUAAAUAUGGAAGAAAUGGUAAAAAAUUCAAAUUCACUUUUUACAUUAGAUGAAUUAAUUGACCAAGAUGAUUGCAUUUCCCACAGUGAACCUAAAGAUGUUACUGUUCUGUCAGUGGCUGAAGAACAAGAUCUCCUCAAACAGGAACGCUUGGUAACUGUGGAUGAAAUUGGAGAAGUGGAAGAGCUACCUUUGAAUGAGUCAGCAGACAUAACUUUUGCCACUUUAAAUACUAAAGGAAAUGAAGGAGAUACUGUAAGGGAUUCCAUUGGCUUUAUUUCUUCUCAGAUGCCCGAAGACCCUUCUACUUUAGUUACUGUAGAUGAAAUACAAGAUGACAGCAGUGAUUUGCAUUUAGUGACUUUGGAUGAAGUAACUGAAGAGGAUGAAGACUCUCUGGCAGAUUUUAACAACCUUAAAGAAGAGCUUAAUUUUGUUACUGUUGAUGAAGUUGGAGAGGAGGAAGAUGGAGAUAAUGAUUUAAAAGUUGAGUUAGCACAAAGCAAAAAUGACCAUCCCACAGAUAAAAAAGGGAAUAGAAAGAAGAGAGCUGUGGACACAAAAAAGACAAAACUUGAAUCCUUGUCCCAAGUGGGUCCAGUAAAUGAGAAUGUUAUGGAAGAAGAUCUAAAAACCAUGAUUGAAAGACACUUAACAGCUAAAACUCCAACCAAGAGAGUUAGAAUUGGGAAAACUCUGCCAUCAGAAAAAGCUGUUGUGACAGAACCAGCAAAAGGUGAAGAGGCCUUCCAGAUGAGUGAAGUUGAUGAGGAAUCUGGAUUAAAGGAUUCAGAACCAGAGCGAAAACGCAAGAAGACUGAAGACUCUUCUUCAGGCAAAUCAGUGGCGUCUGAUGUCCCUGAGGAAUUAGACUUUCUUGUACCUAAGGCUGGAUUCUUCUGUCCAAUUUGUUCCCUCUUCUACUCAGGUGAAAAAGCAAUGACAAAUCACUGCAAGAGUACACGUCAUAAGCAAAAUACUGAGAAAUUCAUGGCCAAGCAAAGAAAGGAAAAGGAGCAGAAUGAGGCUGAAGAAAGAAGCUCUAGGUGAUUGGGGGAAAGGAAAGAAUUCACUAGAAAUUUGUUUAGGGUCCAGUUGAUUUGUGUAUUUUUGUUAUCAUUUAAUUUGUAAUUUUCGUUUCAGAAGCAAAUAUUCGUGUUGUACAAAUUUCUGAUUGCCCUAAAUGUAGAGAGACUGAUGGGGAAAGUAUGAUGGGUUUGAUUUUUAUAUCAAAUCAUCAGGCAUGGAGAAAUAUCUUUUAGAAGUGUUAAAAUAAAUGUUCCUACUGUAUAUUUAAAAUACC